CCUACGGGGGGCAGCAGUGGGGAAUAUUGCACAAUGGGGGAAACCCUGAUGCAGCGACGCCGCGUGAGCGAAGAAGUAUUUCGGUAUGUAAAGCUCUAUCAGCAGGGAAGAAAAUGACGGUACCUGACUAAGAAGCUCCGGCUAAAUACGUGCCAGCAGCCGCGGUAAUACGUAUGGAGCAAGCGUUAUCCGGAUUUACUGGGUGUAAAGGGAGCGUAGGCGGUAAGGCAAGUCUGAUGUGAAAGGCCAGGGCUCAACCUCGGCACUACUACCAAAACUGUCGGACUUGAGUGCAGGAGGGGCAAAUGGAAUUCCUAGUGUAGCGGUGGAAUGCGUAGAUAUUAGGAGGAACACCAGUGGCGAAGGCGAUUUGCUGGACUGUAACUGACACUGAGGCACGAAAGCGUGGGGAGCAAACAGGAUUAGAUACCCCUGUAGUC
rnacentral:rRNA from 1 species